rnacentral:rRNA from 1 species
ACGUCAACACAGGUGCUGCAUGGCUGUCGUCAGCUCGUGUCGUGAGAUGUUGGGUUAAGUCCCGCAACGAGCGCAACCCUCGUCGUUAGUUGCCAUCAUUAAGUUGGGAACUCUAGCGAGACUGCCGGUGACAAACCGGAGGAAAGGUGAGGAUGACGUCAAGUCAGCAUGGCCCUUACGUCCUGGGCGACACACGUACUACAAUGCGAGGGACAGAGAGCAGCCAACCCGCGAGGGAGAGCGAACCUCUUAAACCCUGGCACAGUUCAGAUUGCAGGCUGCAACUCGCCUGCAUGAAGGAGGAAUCGCUAGUAAUCGCAGGUCAGCAUACUGCGGUGAAUACGUUCCCGGGCCUU